AGAUGUUGACCGUAGAGUGACUGCAAAUUUAGAGGAAGUACUCCGCCGGUUUUCUGGUACCAGGGUGCAACAGGAGCACACACAGGGACCAGGGCGUUUGGCAUACCGAGGGGAGUUCUGGAACAUCACGUUCUUUGUGGAUUACCAGCCUGUCAAAUUGCAGCGAUGCUCGGAGUGUCGAGCGCUUUUCCUUUAGGACCUACUCGGCGCGGCACGGCUCCGCUCGUCUUUGUUUAGCCGCGAUUCCACAAGCAUCUACUCGGCACGGUACGGCUCGUCUCAUCUUUGUUUGCGAGCGUUUCCAUACGGACUAAUUUUCAGCACCUUCUCGGCUGAGGUUCCCAGCGAGCUGAGAUGAGCCGAUAAUGUGGCGUUUACAUAGUGCAGCCCACUGAUAGGGCAGGGAGUGACGACACAGAGCAACUUCAGCACGAAAACAAAAUCCUGCAUUAAAAAACGACUGUAAACAGCGACGGUGUGCAUUGCUCUUCACGAAACUCUCUGUUCUUCAUAAUUUUAAUGUGACAGCCAGACCUGUACCGUGGGUGAAUGAAGAGGUCGAGACUUUGUCUUUGGUGGCGGACCAAAGAAUACAGAGAGAGCUGGACGGAGAAAGUUUAUCAGGAGGUCUCUGAGCGGAUGGCCGCUCACAUAUACAGUAGACUGUAUAUAAAGAGGACAGAAGCAGUGUAGGGAGAAGCUGAAAAAGCUCAAAAGUGACUAUCGGUCCACCCAGGACCACAACGGCCGGCGUGGGUCAACCAGGAGGUGUUGGAAGAGGUUUAAUGGAAGCUAUUUACUGGCACCGCACCGGCGAGCAACAGGAGGGAGACUCAGCUGCUGCAUUAUUGGAGACGUUCGAGGACGAAUCCCUUUCCACAUGCGAAGCCUACUCCACCUCCGUCGCGGAGCCCCCGGCUGCCCUGUCUCCUCUCCAGCACCAGCUCGGACACCGACACGUCACAGCAACGUCUUAUCACCGGCAAGAGGAAAGGGGGCCACAGAAAAUUGGACCUUCCUAGCAUAUUUGUGGAGAUGCAGGCUGAGGAGGAGUGGAGUCAUGCCCAGCAUGAUGAGAACAUCUGGUUGCUCCUCAGCGAGGCAAGAGAGAAUGAAGCGGCCUUGCAGCGGGAGGAGAUGGCCCAGAAUACUGCCUUCAACCAGUCAUUCCUGGGUGUGCUGGG
ensembl:lncRNA